rnacentral:lncRNA from 1 species
AACCGUGAAAACAAAAUGGCGUCCAAAAAAAAAAAAAAAACUAGAAGGUUGCUGUAGCAGGGUUGGCUCGCCAAGUUACCAUAAUCGGGGGAUUAUUCUUUUUACUGUCAUGUAAUUUUCUGCAGAAUGGAAUUAAGAACUAAUAUUUUAAGAUCCAAGAAAUAAUUGAAAUCUUUUCCUACUGGAGGAUUUUCUCAUAGUAUGGGAACUGAAGCAGCAGUACAAAAUUUGUAUAUUCAGAAUACAGAUGAUGUGAAGACCUUUAUUUUAAGUAGCCUUGAGAACACAGGGUAGAGCAUUUUUAACCACGUCAUGUGAUGUAUUUGGAUUGUCGCAAAUUGUAGCCAUAAAGGACCUUGUUGAUGAUGAAAAAAUGCAUGGUCACCUGGCACAAUUGUAUCAGUUUAAAGUUCAGCAUUUCUUGGAUGACAUACUUUCAAGGAACUGGGUAAUUUGUCCAGAGGAUGCCUGUGUUAUAUUUCCUAUGAACGAAGUUUUGCAGAAUACUCAUGAUACCUUGUUUGCUAAAUUGUUUUUUUCUUAAUAUUAGUCAAACAUUUAUAAUUUAUAAUAUUUGUAUAAUAUAUGUAAAAAAUAAAUAAUGUUUCUUUAAUAAUGAAAAAGUGUUCACGUAUUUUGGUCAAAUUAUUAAGAUUGCUAGAUAUGAACAAAAGAUUUACUCUGAAGAAAAAUUGUUUUCAGGAGUAAGAAAAUAAAAAAACUUUUGCAUUGUAAAAAUGUAAUAAACUGGAAAAAAAAUUGCACUUAUUUUCCAGUUUAAGUACAAUAAAUAGCAAUAAACUUGAAAAAGAAGUGAACGCAUUACUUAUUGAAAAUACUUAACUUCUAAAAUAACCAUUUGUUAAUUUUUUAUGUGUCAGACAUGACAUUAAAUCUUGAAACAAUCUAUUUUAACUAACCAUUUAUAUUUUGGAAAGUAUUGCUUUAAAGGAGCUCUAAUAUUAGCUCCUGUGUAUUGAAGGUCUUGAAAUCCUGAGUUAUAGGAGUUUUAUAUUUUUCCCCUUUGAGUAAAUAUUACAGCGAAUAUAUUUACUUAUUUAUCCUUAAUAGCAGAGAGCUAAAAUUGAUGUGAAAUUUUGAUUUUUUUUAUAACAUUAAAAUGCUUUAUCACCUUGAAUUGCCCUUAAGUUAACGAUUUCCUGAUAUUCUUAACACUUUCGAUUUCAUCCUGAACUUCAACCUUUCCAUAACUUCUAGUUUUCAAGCAGUUAAUUUUUUAGUUUUAUUAGCAAGUAGAAUUCAAUUUAUUUCUUAAGCAUUAACAUCCACCUCUGUAUUUUAAAAUUCCAGCCCUAUUUGUUCCCAUUUUGGUAUCUUUUCAUUUGUUUGUUCAAAUCAGUAAACAAGAUCCUCUGUUCUAAGAAUAAACAAACACAAACAGUUUCUAAAUUAAGAUCAUUCCAGGCGGACGACUUAGGGUUUAGUCAUUAUAUCUCAUUUCUUCUUUCUUUUAUUCUUUUCUAGGAAACUGGGAAGAGUCUCCAAUGAUUGGGCAAGUCUUGCCAGAACUUUUGCAGAGCUUGAUACACUCCUUGCAGCUACCUUCAGCCAAUGGCUAAGCUUUUCUCCAAACCAUCCACUGCCUUCUAACCAGUCUCUUCAUUUCUUAAUAUUCUUCUUUGCUGAACAUUAUGAACCCUGUUAAAUUGUAAGAUAUUCAGCUAUAGGGCUUCGGCCCAGGAACCCUUUUCUGGUGCCUUAAGAAGUCCUUCACCUAAAAAGUUUGCCGGAGCUCACUGAAGCCCCUAAAAUUGGUCUUAGACGUAUUUCAACCUGACUCAUGGCCCAAUAUGAAAUUGUUUGAUAGUGGCGGACAAAAUAAACGGGCUUGUUGUCAUCCCAAACGGCACUCGGCACAUUAAAAAAACCUUAAAGCCUAAACUAUUGUUGGAAGAAUGAUCAAACCACAAAAACCUUAAAAAAUUUCUAUCUUCAUUACCAAUUUGAUAUUAAGGAUACUACCCUGUACUUCCUUCACUGGUAGGAGCAAGAUUGCAGUUAGAAAUUAGUUUAUUUUCUUAAGAACUUCCUUCUCAAAAUGGCAUGUUUACAUUUUAAUUUAUUGAGAUUAUUAUCGAAUAUUUAGGUACAAAUAACAAUUAAGUUUUAAACUUUACAUAAAAUUCAGUAUGUUUUUGUGGUCAGUGUGUUUUGGGUAGUCAAUAUGUUUGUAUGUUGAAGUAAAUAUAUUCUAAUUCUUCGCCCUUAUGACUGAGCAGGAAUGCUAAAAAUGUGGUUUUCUUACCUUAAUAAAAGGUAAGAAAAGUAAAGGUAUUUUCUUCAGUCUUGGUAGCCUAUCCAGAAAUGGUGUUUCAGGAACCUUACCAUAAUAAAGAUAUCCAGUGUGCUUCUUUUAGAAUUGACCUAUUUCAUUGGGCUGUAGUUUUGUUAAAAAAUAUUAGAUUUUAAUGCAGUUUGCGGCAAAAGAUUCAGGAAAGAUGAAAAUUUAGUGGCCCAUGCCAUUUUUUUGAUGGGAAAAGCGAAAAAAAAAGAAGAAAUAACAAAUAACAAAAACUGCGGCAUUCCGCGAAAUUCCAUACAAGAAAGACUGCAUACUGUUGAAGACAUAGCACUUUGACGUUUUACCAAUGGUGCCACAUGCCACAUGUCAAAAGAAAGUAUGGAUUUGAUCAGAAGUUCCUCUGGAGACAGCAUUAUUUCCAAAUGUGUGUGACAUUCGCGUUCACCAGAUUUCUCCAUAUGGGGUUUUCUGAAGGUCGUGUCUAUUCUGAUAAACCACAGGCACUUAAAUUAAAGGCCAACAUUUCUAAGAAAACUCUAUACAAUAUUGCCAACAUAUUGCAGAGUGUUGUAGUUAACGUGGAGUGGCGAGUUCGGUUGUGCCUAUAGUAGUAUAUCCCAAACUAUAAGAGGCGUGGCCUCCGCCAUUUUGGAUCACAUGACUAUCUUCUGCCAUGUUGGUCCACGUGGUGUCCAUUUGGAAUGACUCAUCCUUCUCCCGCCCUGCUUUCCGUCCUGCAUCAUUAAUUGUAUUCGGUAAUUAUUUAUGAAGGAUUUAAUUAUUUAUAAUUAUUUAAUUUAACUAAUUAAUUUAUUAAUCAUGUGGUCCUUGGAGAAUAUCAGCCUUGUAUGCUGGUGCAUGCUGCCCUUCACGGCGAGAACGCUGUUUAAAAAAAUACCUGGGGCCCGAACCCAUGACCUCGAGAUCUCAAGCUACGCACUUUAACCAUCGAGCGCGCUCUUGUUGGACUGAAAAGACUAAAAAUUCGUACUUAUAAAGAAAAAGGCAAAGCGUUCAACGAAUUUUUUUUUACUGAUAGGAAAGUUUCUUUUAAACAACAAAUGGGGCAGAAGAUAUACAUAUUUUUUUCUUUUUAAUUUUUUCAAGCACUGAUGACCUUCUUUCAGAAAAAAUAAAACACUAAUUGUGCUUAAUUUUUUAAUUAAUAUUUUUAAUUUAUCAAAUGAUUUUUUUUCCUCUAAAUGGGUGAUUUCAUUGUCUAAUGGGAAAAAUUUUUUUCAAAAUCAUUUUAUGAUUUGCAGCGAAUGGGUUAAAAUGGUAUUUUUAAAACUUUAUUAUUGGUUUUUCUUAAAUACAUGUUGCUGCUGGCUCCAUCUAGUGUCCAUAAUAUCUACUAAAGUUAACUGGAUGGUUAAAAAAUUUAUAUAAAGAAAUAUAUAUUUUCUUUCCAUGGGAAUCGAACCCGCUGUCCCCCACAAAAUUUAAUAAAAAAGGAAUUGAGGGGCACCGCAUCCAAGUCUUUAAGUGAUACCCCACAAUUCCUUAGUUGAAAUUGUUCUUAAUUGUGUAUAUAAGAUUUUUUUUUCCGUGAAUCGCCAUCUUGCGUUUUUCCUGUAGCCGCCAUUUAAAGGAUUUGCUUUGGGGGUAAAUGACAUCACCCAUAUCAUGUUCUUGUAUGAUUUGGUUGGGAAAUGGCAUCUGCCUCCUUUGGGUAGAUAUCCGCAUAAGUGAACGAAUACAUUUCUGUUCUUGCCGAUGGCCCUCUCAAUGUUGCCUGCUUGUUUCGGCCUGACAGAGCUAAAAAUAGGAUAUUUUCCGCACCUUUUCAACAAAAAAGAAAAUCAAAAUUAUGUGGGAUUUUUACCUGAGCCUAAGUACUACGAUCCUGACUGUAUGGCUAGUGCGGUGCGAACCUCCUUCUUGGAAUGGCAUAAAGAACACGAGAAGGACAUAUUUGAUUUUUAAGAAGAAAUUCUCACGUACUGCCGGUUUGUAUCAACAAUCUAUUUUUUAAGCCUUCAUUAUGAUCCCCCUUUUUUUACGUGUAUUUUUUUUUGUACCAUGUUUUAUUUAUUUAUUUUAUUUAUUUUUUUCUUUUUCAUUUUCAGAUCAGAUGUUGAUAUCCUCCGUAGAUGUUGCGUUGAAUUUAGAAAUCAGUUCUUAGAAAUUACAGGAGUAGACCCCUUUUGUUACAUAACCAUUGCAUCAGCGUGUAAGGCGGUUUACAGAGCUCAACACUUAAUACCUAAUACCAUAGCAAUGAUACAUGUAGGAGGUUACAUCAAUCGCACGAAUCACAGCCCUGACUGUAUUCAUUGGCUUGAUUUUUAUUGCCCAAAGGAAAAUAUUGAAAUCGAACUUGCUUUGAGCGGAAAGGAGAAAAACAGUUGGAUAGCAUAUCUGUAGAUGGAUAUUGCAAAGAAACAAAUACAGUUUAUCAAUACCACGGAUGUUUCUUGCACGGUUGCCCCACUUGUUUUGACGGAGAUGCACUCCAUCCUAUGACAAAAUUACCCAUGUCGACAUUGCGACAACAAACGGUAGACAAGACUUACCAGCUACGUGCUCGAGGGUAUAAUGUAAUUGAAAUGUGGGAGCAUGAGUUCGAGAUGGAAAAGAAAACAAAUGAAGAAGUAAAAUAUUUUCUUCUAAGUCACGAGCUUCAGGAUCCAUUAAAUCCAAAAGAUGCUUUCUUUGGCGGGCAGACAGACAUUUCUUUGGCAUGUCAUUCAGCUGUAUUAUGAGGGUAAUGCAAAGUACAUGGACUUCACUUCACUGUAUCCAUGGGUAAAUAUUUUUUUUCUGUUUUUAAAAAAUAAACAUUAUUUUGUUCCACAGGACACAUCUACAAAUGUGUUCUUGGCAGCUUUUACUACUUCUUGGGCAAGAUUAAAGCUUUACAGUGAAAUAGAGAAGUUGGGCCGUGCUGUGUUGUAUCAUGACACGGAUUCAAUUAUAUAUACAAGCAAUUCUAUUAACGAUCUGCCUUUUGGUAAUUUUUUAGGGGAGUUGAACAGAUGAACUCAAUGGAGUUACCAUUACUCCAUUUGUCUCUGGUGAGCUUCAUUUUAUUAGGUUGUCUUUUAUUUUUUCUUCUAGUUUCUGUAGCAUAAUUUUUUCCCCAUUCAGGAGGACCUAAAAAUUAUGCUUAUGUAACAGCACGAGGAAAGACUUGCUGUAAAGUUAGAGGUUUCUCUCUCAACUUCAAAAAUCAACAGAUUUUAAAUUUUUCGGAGAUUAAGAAUUUAGUGUGCUCGAUGGAUCGAAAAACAACAAUCGCCAUGUACGAUGAACAUAAAAUCACGAGAGAUGCCAAAACGAGGAAAGUUUUAACUAAGGCAGAAACAAAAUUGUACAAGAUUGUUUACAACAAAAGGGUGCUAAAAGAAGAUUUAUCUACUGUUCCCUAUGGAUUUUAAAUGGUAUGGAUCUCAUUUUUUUAUUGCAUGGUUAUUAUUGGAUUCAUAUUUUUAAAAAAUUUAAAUUUUUUUUGUCGUGAAUUUUUAAAAUGUACAAUCUACAAUUUUUUAUUUUAAUUUUCAUUAGCCUUUUCCUAAACAAAAUGAGCAUAUAAAGCUUCACACAUUUCUGAAAAUCAUCAGUAUGCAGAAUGGAGUUACCCCUGUUGAAGCACCCUUCCACAUCUCUCAUCAGCUACCCAACAGGAUCGGGAAAGACCUAUUUUGUGAAACGAGUCAUCGAAGAAGGUAUGCUUUCACCUAUGCCUCAGCGUAUAAUUUUAUUGCUAUGGAGCAUAUCAGCCUAUUUUUAGUAAAAUGAAAAAUGUGCAUUUUGAAGAAGGAUUGCCAUCGAACCUCAAUUCCCUGCAAAAUGCACUAAUUAUCAUUGAUGAUUUAAUGUCUAAAUUAGCGAGCGGUACUCGUUUAAGCAAACUUUUUACGAAAGGAAGCCAUCACCGAAAUCUUUCUGUAAUAUUUAUUGUUCAAAAUUUAUUUCAGCAGGGUAAAGAAAUGCAAACAAUUCAUUUAAAUUGUCAUUACAUGGUGUUGUAUAAAAAUCCUAGAGAUAAAAGUCAAAUCAUACAUUUGGCAAGGCAGAUGUUCCCCGGAAAAACAAAGGCUUUUCAAGAACAAUUCAUUUAAAUGAACAAGAACAACUCAUUUAAAAAUUAAAAAAUUCAUUAAAUUAAAAUCUUCCAAGAUGCAACUUUAAACCCUUACAGUGAUUUAUUAAUAGAUUUAAGACCUGAAACCCAGGAAAGGUUAAGGUUACGUACAGGCAUUUUUCCUUCAGAUAAGCAUUUUGUUUAUGAACUCCGUUAGUUCUUAGUACGAAUAAGUUUUUUUUUUCUCUGUUAGUGAUCGUGUUUGAAGUUUUUUUUUCAAAAUUGAAAGCUCUCAUUUACAUUGUAAAAAGAAUACAUUUGUAAGAUCUAAAGUUUUUUUUUUUUUUUUUUUUUUUUUUGAAAAUUAGGUUACUUAA